UUUGAGUUUUUGAAGUUAGCAUUUUACUCAGAAAAAUUUUGAAUUUGCUACAGCAUCAGAGCAUUUUGUUCCUUCUGUAUUCAGAUCUGAAAUGUUGCUUCUUACUUGUGAGCACCUCUUGUUUUAUGUGGGGAUGUUCCUGUUUCGGAAGCAUAUAUUAAUUCUUUUACCAGUUAUAAACAGCGUGAUGAAUAUUUCAUUUCUGCAUCACGCUACCUGUCUUCUGGUACAAACUCAUGUGAUCUAUGCAAUGAUAUGAUGAUCUGUGUCUUUAAUUGUAGCACCAGCAUAUAACAUGAUUUAAAGAUAUGGAAGACUGUAGUAUUUGACAGCUAUAGAACAUCUAAAUUUUAUAUGGUAUAUGUUAUGGGUUUGGGAUCAGGGUAGAACUAUGUCAUGAAGAAGCUGUGGCUUUGUAUUUGGUUGAUUCUGCCUGAAAAGUGUCCAACUUUUGAUGUCUUUUAUGCCUCUUUUGGGUUGUCCUCUAUCCCCUUUAUGACAGUAUAGCAAUUCAAUGUCACGAAUGACAGAUUUUUGCUCUUGCCUGAACUGGAAGUUGAGUUUGAAGCUUUAGCAGAUGCAGGUCAUGGCUGAAGGCUGUUGAAACAAGGCCUUCCUUUGAUUGCGAGUGUUGAGUCUAUACCAACCUUAACCCCCUAGGUUGGGGUUCGAAGAGUGUAGAAUGUAUGCAGCUCUUUCCCUCUGCCUUUAGAUGGUAGAGCGGCUGAACGAAGACGAUUCAGACUAUGGAUUGAUGUAAAACUAAUUGGAUUUCCCUCAAUACUGUGUUUUAUUGAGGUCCAUGUCUUCCUUGGAAAUGGAUUGGCUGCUGAUAUGUUUUAGCAUUUGAUACAUACUUGUAGUUACUGAA
rnacentral:misc_RNA from 1 species